CUGGGUUACACGUUGACGUGUCCAAGAAAAGAAAAAAAUGGGUCUAGUCUCUUGAACCGGUCCCAAAUGCAUCAAACCCCAACGCAAUUUCACUCUCAGCUCAAACCUUACGACUAUUUUCCCCCCACAGCUGCCUCGCCCCAAAUGCAGAAAACCUCUCACAAAUCAACUCAUGCGAAGAGAUCUAAGGUUACAAGAUUGAAGCCCACCAUACGCAGCAGAAUUGGCCGUCGCUGAGGCCUUCUUCUCCGGCAAAAUAUCUUACUGUAGGGGUUCCAGCCUUGCCUUGAUUUCGUCAAAUUUCAAUUUCGCCUCUCCACUUGCCAAUCAUUUGCAGGACCCUGAAGGUGUGUUUCUUAUACUUUAUGUGAUAGAAGCAAUUAUAUAAAUAUUCAUCUUUUUUGCUUAUCAUAGCUUGAUGCAUUGAUUGGCUUGUUGAAUCCGAAGGGUGAGAGAGAAAGAGCUCUUAAAAAGCAGCUGGAGAAAAAGUACAACAAAAUAAAGUAAGUUGUUCAUGACCUUGUACCAAGAUUGUUACUUUCUCAGUUUCCAUGCCUCAAGUAAGGGGUGGAGGGGUGGCGUGGGGAGGGGAAAGUGGGAGAAAGCAAAAUGUGGGUGUGAAAUCUCGUGAAUUUAGCCAUUAUUGACUGCUAAAUUGAACAUUAAACUUGUGUCUUGUCUCGGGCAAAAAAUAAGCUAUUGUGUUGAAGUGAACAGAAUCUGAAUGUUUUGUUUGCUGUUCAGACAUUUAUGUUUGGUUUUAUAUUCGGUUAUUGUGAGUCACUUGAUUGCAUUGUGCAAGGGAAUUUUGUUAAAAAUGUUGUUUAGUUGUCUAAUGUAGUGUGUAAUAUGUGUGUUGUUACUAUUCUAAAGCACACAUCGUGUAUUGUUACUAUUGUCUUGAUGCCCAUCAGUAUAUUGUGUUUCCUUGUGCUGGUGAACAUUGCAAAACUCUGGCGGCCAAUCAUACUCAGUUUUUACUGAUUGACACAGAGAAACCACUAGUAUUUUAGAUCAUGUUUUCUGAAUUAUGUCAUCAAUGCCUGUAGGAAGAGAGUAACAUUUACGCAUUUUCAGGUUGUUCGAUACUGCAGUCCAAUCUCUUAGAUAUUGCAUUUGGUAGGAAGAAGUUAUCAAUUCCAGUGAACUUAAUACACGAGCUUCACAUGAGGGAAUCUUUCAGUGAUUUUGAUGUGUCUUUUACGAGCUAAAGAAAACUUUACUUUGAAAUUGACAGAUGAUACUAGUUGAUAGACAAAAAAUGAUGUCAAUUUCUAAUAUAUGUGGAUAUUUCAUAAGCUUUCUUAAUGAGGUCAGAUACAUGCAAAUUUCCAAGUUAAAUGGAUUAAAUGCCGAAUAAACAUACAUCCACUGACCUACAUCAUCUCGUAGCCAUGUUCCUUCAAGUUUUAUUUUACAUGUGCCUGUGAAAAUUUUGGUUUGCGUCAAAUUAUACUAUCCUGAAUUAAUACACAUCUGUUCACAAUAUUUCUUGGAUUAAUAAUAUAAGAUUUGAUAUUUUACGUUCUUUCAACCGACAACAACUCUUAUUAGUUAUUUGUAGGCACGUCCAACCUAACCUUUUGAGGAUAAAAGUGCAGCAAUCGAGAAGCUUAUGUUACUGUCAGAAUUGUUUAAAGAAUGUCCUUGACAAAUAAAUGUUCUUGCUGAAUCUCUGUUAUUAUUCUGCACCUGUUUAGUUGGUUGUUAUUAUCAGAAACACUUGAGAGGGAUUUUAUGACUUAUCUCUAAACUCAUGGCCAAUUUUAAGAUCAGUUCAUGCAUUUCUAUGUAGCAUGCUGGGAAAGAACUCCGGACUUUGUCAUAGCUGUAGAGAGAAGGGUCACUUGUUUGCGGAUUGCCCAAACAAAAGGCCAUGACCCUUGUGUAAAUGUGGAAUUGUGAAGUACUUCGAGGUCGAGAGAGAGACAAAGAACAAUGGAAGAUUGUUCGAGUGCUGCAGUGCUAACUGUAAAUAUUGGGCAUGGGUCGAUGAGGGAGAAUCAAGCAGUGGAUCAAGCAAUGUUACCGCUAACUCAAAUAAUCAUGCAGCACUUGAAGAUGUUCAGCAGUUCUCUCGCAUGUUCCAGUCUCUUUGUCACGUGGUCUCUAAGGAACGAAACAUUGAGAUUUCUUUGAAUGUGACAAUAAGGAAUGCCAACGAAAGUGCGGAAGUAGAUGUGAAAGGGAAGGGGCCAGCAUGAUUUGUGGUUAGCUGAAUAAGUGAUUAGUGUAGUUGAUGUAUUCUGUUAAUAUUGGUGUUUGCACUAAGGUGUUGGCCAGAAAAUUAUUCCUUGCAAAUGGUCAUGUUCUUGUCUUAAUGUGAUUAUUCUGGCUUGAAGUUAUGUUUAUGCAAAGCUAGUGUGUGUGAAAUAUUGUUUCAUUUUAAUAGCUUCUAGUUACGUUUUUGAAAGAAAACCAGCAUAUAGAUCAUCACUUAGCAGUUUUUAACUGAAGGAAACAGUUAUAGAGCUUCGUCUGCAAAUUGAAAGAGCUCGUGUAAGCCUCCUGUUCUUGAGCCAAAAAAGAAAGAGCUCGUAUAAGCCUUGAAUGA
rnacentral:lncRNA from 1 species